rnacentral:rRNA from 1 species
CUUUUUCCGGAAUUAUUGGGCGUAAAACGAGCGCAGGCGGUUUGAUUAAGUUUGAAGUAAAAGGCAGUGGCUUAACCAUUGUUCGCUUUGGAAACUGUUAGAGUGAGUGCAGAAAGAGGGAGGAGUGCAAUUCCAUGUGUUGCGGUGAAAUGCGUAGAUAUAUGGAGGAACACCGGCGGGGGAAAGCGGCUCUCUGGUAUGUAACUGACGCUGAGGCUGGAAAAGCGUGGGGAGCAAAACAGGAUUAGAUACCCUGGUAGUCCACGCCGUAAACGAUGAGUGCUAGGUGUUAGGCCCUUUCCCGGGCUUAGUUCCGCAGCUAACGCAUUAAUCACUCCGCCCUGGGGAGUACGACCGCAAGGUUAAAAAUCAAAGGAAUUGACGGGGGCCCCCACAAGCGGUGGAGCAUGUGGUUUAAUUCGAAGCAACGCGAAGAACCUUACCAGGUCUUGACAUCCCGAUGCUAUUCCUAGAGAUAGGAAGUUUGUUCGGAACAUCGGUGACAGGUGGUGCAUGGUUGUCGUCAGCUCGUGUCGUGAGAUGUUGGGUUAAGUCCCGCAACGAGCGCAACCCCUAUUGUUAGUUGCCAUCACAAAGUUGGGCACUCUAGCGAGACUGCCGGUAAUAAACCGGAAGAAAGUGGGGAAGACGUCAAAUCAUCAUGCCCCUUAAGACCUGGGCUACACACCGUGCUACAAUGGUUGGUACAACGAGUCGCGAGUCGGUGACGGCAAGCAAAUCUCUUAAAGCCAAUCUCAGUUCGGAUUGUAGGGCUCAAAUCGCCUUCAAGAAGUCGGAAUUGCUAGUAAAUCCGGAUCAGCACUCCGGGGUGAAUUCUUCCCGGGCCUUGUACACACCGCCCGUCACACCACGAGAG